GGCUACAGCCAAACCACCCUGAACGCCCCCGAUCUCUUCUGAUCUAGGAAGCUAAGCAGGGUAGGGCCUGGUUAGUACUUGGAUGGGAGGUUACCUACAUAUACCUCUGUAACAC
rnacentral:rRNA from 1 species